GAUGAACGCUGGCGGCGUGCUUAACACAUGCAAGUCGAACGGAAAGGCCCAAGCUUGCUUGGGUCCUCGAGUGGCGAACGGGUGAGUAACACGUGGGUGAUCUGCCCUGCACUUCGGGAUAAGCCUGGGAAACUGGGUCUAAUACCGGAUAGGACCACAUUUUGGAUGGUGUGGUGGAAAGUUCUUCGGUGUGGGAUGAGCUCGCGGCCUAUCAGCUUGUUGGUGGGGUAAUGGCCUACCAAGGCGUCGACGGGUAGCCGGCCUGAGAGGGUGUACGGCCACAUUGGGACUGAGAUACGGCCCAGACUCCUACGGGAGGCAGCAGUGGGGAAGAUUGCACAAGGGGCGCAAGCCUGAUGCAGCGACGCCGCGUGGGGGAUGACGGCCUUCGGGUUGUAAACUCCUUUCGCUAGGGACGAAGCGUUAUGUGACGGUACCUGGAGAAGAAGCACCGGCUAACUACGUG
rnacentral:rRNA from 1 species